ACCCCUGUGAGAAUGCCCCACAGUUCCCCGCCCGGGAACAAGGAGCUGGUAUCAGGCACACCUUAUAGAAGCCCAUGACGCCUUGCUUAGCCACACCCUCAAGGGAACUCAGCAGUGAUAAACAUUAAGCCAUAAGUGAAAACUUGACUUAGUCAUAGCUAAGAGGGCCGGUAAAACUCGUGCCAGCCACCGCGGUUAUACGAGAGGCCCAAGUUGAGAGACAUCGGCGUAAAGAGUGGUUAAGUUAAAACUUAAACUAAAGCCGAACGUCCUCAAGGCUGUUAUACGCACCCGAAGAUAAGAAGUUCAACCACGAAGGUGGCUUUAUUUAACCUGAACCCACGAAAGCUAAGGCACAAACUGGGAUUAGAUACCCCACUAUGCCUAGCCCUAAACAUUGAUAGUAUCCUACACCCACUAUCCGCCCGGGAACUACAAGCAUUAGCUUAAAACCCAAAGGACUUGGCGGUGCUUUAGAUCCACCUAGAGGAGCCUGUUCUAGAACCGAUAACCCCCGUUCAACCUCACCUUUCCUUGUUUUCCCCGCCUAUAUACCGCCGUCGUCAGCUUACCCUGUGAAGGUUAAAUAGUAAGCAAAACUGGUAGAACCCUAAACGUCAGGUCGAGGUGUAGCGUAUGGGAAGGGAAGAAAUGGGCUACAUUCGCUACGGCAGCGAAUACGGACGAUGUACUGAAACGUAUAUCUGAAGGAGGAUUUAGCAGUAAGCAGGAAAUAGAGUGUCCCGCUGA
rnacentral:rRNA from 1 species